rnacentral:rRNA from 1 species
GAUGAACGCUAGCGGCAGGCCUAAUACAUGCAAGACGAACGGUAAAUAUUGUAGCAAUACAAUAUGAGAGUGACGUACGGGUGCGUAACACGUAUGCAACCUACCCUUUACAGGUGGAUAGCUCGGGGAAACUCGAAUUAACCCACCGUGGUAUCAUUGAAUGGCAUCAUUUGAUGAUUAAAACUCAGGUGGUAAAGGAUGGGCAUGCGUCUGAUUAGUUAGUUGGCGGUGUAACGGACCACCAAGACGAUGAUCAGUAGGGGAACUGAGAGGUUGAUCCCCCACACUGGCACUGGGAUACGGGCCAGACUCCUACGGGAGGAAGCAGUAGGGAAUAUUGGUCAAUGGAUGCAAGUCUGAACCAGCCAUGCCGCGUGCAGGAAGAAGGCCUUAUGGGUUGUAAACUGCUUUUGCCAGGGGAUAAAACGAGCUUGCGAGCUUAAUUGAAGGUACCUGGUGAAUAAGCCACGGCUAACUACGUGCCAGCCGCCGCCGUAA